rnacentral:ncRNA from 1 species
UAGAAUGCUAAAGAUGUAGACGCUGAAAAGCUUAAUAGGGAAUUUGGUGUAACUCCAAAACUGUUUCCGCAACUGUAAGUAUGGAUGAACUGAGCAUAACCACUGUUUGAACAAAACGGGAAGGGCUCAUAGUAAAACGAAGUACGAGUCAGGAUACCUAUCUACAUUCAUCACACAAA